GAGGCGCUAGAAGCUGAAGUAGUGGUGGAGAGUACGCUUAGCAUGGCCGCGCAGACUCACGAGACACAAAAAGAAUUUGAGUCCGGGAGAGAGGAGUCACGAAAGUGUAGAAUUUUAGGAGGCUUACAACUCCUCUUUCGUCUCUAAGCACCUCGACCCGGAAGGUAAUUUUCCGAAGCUAGGAGUUUCUACGGGUGCCGGGAGGAGGACGUGUGCACAUCCUCCUUGCACCACGAGAGGCGCCGGUGUCUUCUAGUGGUAGCUACUGCUUCUACGAAGAGACUGCGGCUUCUGUCUGAUUGUUUUUCCUUUCCUCCUCCAUCCCUUCCACAUCCCACAGCUUAGUAUAGCGGAACUUUCCACCCGAGGACUGCGGAGACCAACUAGAUUGGAAUGGAGAACAAAGAAUCCACAGACCCUCCUCAGAACACCAGACAGCACAUUAUUUCAGAGGAGUUGAUUUCAGAAGGAAAAUGGGUCAAAUUUGAAAAAACAACUUACAUGGAUCCUACUGGGAAAACGAGAACUUGGGAAACAGUGAAACUUACAACCAGGAAGGGGAAAUCUGCUGACGUUGUGUCCAUCAUCCCAGUGCUGCAAAGAACUCUUCAUUAUGAGUGUAUUGUUCUGGUGAAGCAGUUCCGACCCCCAAUGGGUGGCUACUGCCUGGAGUUUCCAGCAGGGCUCAUCGAUGAUGGUGAGAGCCCAGAAGCAGCCGCUCUCCGGGAGCUAGAGGAAGAAACCGGCUACAAAGGUGACGUCGCUGAGUGUUCUCCAGCUGUGUGUCUGGAUCCAGGCUUGUCGAACUGUACCACACAUGUUGUCACAGUAACCAUCAAUGGAGAUGAUGCGGAAAAUGUAAGGCCGAAGCCCAAACCAGGGGAUGGAGGUAUGCUAUUCAACUCCCAGUGGCUGGCCCUGUGAUGGCUUAGUGUAGUGAAUUUGUGGAAGUGAUUUGUUUACCAAAGAAUGACCUACUGACUAGACUUGACGCUUUGGUAGCAGAAGACCAUCUUACAGUGGAUGCCAGGCUCUACGCCUAUGCUCUGGCACUGAAACAUGCCAACUCGAAGCCAUUCGAAGUACCCUUCCUCAAAUUUUAAGGCCAAGGAGGACACUGGCCAUGUUUUGUAAAUGAGACCAUAAGGCCUUCACUAUUCAAUGUAUUCAAUUAAGUUUAAUGUAGAUCGGAAAUCAGCUUUUUCAUAAAAUAAAAGCAGCACAGACUGCAUGUGGUAUGGAAUUAUAA